rnacentral:piRNA from 2 species
GGCCGAGUGGUUAAGGCGUUGGACUC